rfam:Oryza sativa Japonica Group DNA, chromosome 7, cultivar: Nipponbare, complete sequence.
UGACUUUGGUCAAAGUCAAUCUACUUUAAGUUUGACCAAGUUUUAGAAAAAAGGUAGUAACAUUUUCAAUCCAAGAUAAAUAUAUUAUGAAAAUGUAUUCAAUUAUCGAUUAAAUGAAACUAAUUUUGUGCUGUAAAUAUUACUAUAUUUGUCUACAAACUUAAUCAAACUUGAAUUAGUUUGACUUUGAUCAAAGUCAA